GACGAACGCUGGCGGCGUGCCUAAUACGUGCAAGUCGAACGAGAGCGACCGGUGCUUGCACUGGUCAAUCUAGUGGCGAACGGGUGAGUAACACGUGGGUAACCUGCCCAUCAGAGGGGGAUAACAUCCGGAAACGGAUGCUAAAACCGCAUAGGUCUUCGAGCCGCAUGGCUUGAAGAGGAAAAGAGGCGCACGCUUCUGCUGAUGGAUGGACCCGCGGUGCAUUAGCUAGUUGGUGAGGUAACGGCUCACCAAGGCCGUGAUGCAUAGCCGACCUGAGAGGGUGAUCGGCCACAUUGGGACUGAGACACGGCCCAAACUCCUACGGGAGGCAGCAGUAGGGAAUCUUCCGCAAUGGACGCAAGUCUGACGGAGCAACGCCGCGUGAGUGAAGAAGGUUUUCGGAUCGUAAAACUCUGUUGUUAGAGAAGAACAAGUGCUAGAGUAACUGUUAGCGCCUUGACGGUAGCUAACCAGAAAGCCACGGCUAACUACGUG
rnacentral:rRNA from 1 species